GUAGACAUAGUUUAACUAAAACAUUAGAUUGUGAUUCUGAAAUCGGAGGUUAAAAUCCCCCUGUCCACC
rnacentral:tRNA from 1 species